UACGAAGGGGGCUAGCGUUGCUCGGAAUCACUGGGCGUAAAGGGCGCGUAGGCGGCCUGAUCAGUCGGGGGUGAAAGCCUGUGGCUCAACCACAGAAUGGCCUUCGAUACUGUCGGGCUUGAGACCGGAAGAGGUAAGUGGAACUGCGAGUGUAGAGGUGAAAUUCGUAGAUAUUCGCAAGAACACCAGUGGCGAAGGCGGCUUACUGGUCCGGAUCUGACGCUGAGGCGGCGAAAAGCGUGGGGAGCAAAC
rnacentral:rRNA from 1 species